UAGGUAUUUUCCUCCCUGUCCCCAACCUCCCCCCAUUCCUCUCGAGUCCUCCCACGCCGGCCGCCGCCCAUCGUCAGACAUUGCGACUCCUUUGCGCGGCCGCGACCUACAUGCCGGCGAGCCUCCCGUCACCACUCCCCUGCGACCCUCCACCCCGGCGCGCCGCCCCUCAUCACCACUCCCCUGCGACCCUGGAUCCUGGUGCGCCGCCCCUUGUCACUGCUCCACUGCGACCAACGGCGAAUCCAAAUUUCUAGCGAAAAUAUCUGAAGAUCCUUACUAGUUUCCAGAGACGUUCGAUCCUAUUAAGCAAGAGUCUUCAAGGUGGUAGUUCAGUUCAACACUGCUGACCUCCGAGUCCCGCGCCCCAUGCUCCAACCUUGGACUUCUUCCCAGGGACAUGAAUGGAGGUGCCCAGUUUCAGCAAAGUACGCGAAUUCAUUCAAGCGCCUUCCUACCUUUCUGAUGUCGUUUUCGUCCAAUAACAUUUCUGGCAGGGAUUGCUGUCUUUUCCCUUGUGAAAUAAAAACUGAUCUUCAAGUUCUGUUAGUCAGAUAUGAUUAUUAUGUAUGACUAUAUCAUCAGCAAGGUGUUUUUAGUACCAAAUGAUGAAUAUUUCAACCACUAUUUGGCGUACUAUGAGCCUGUACUCAUGAAGUACACUGCAAGGAAAUACGCGCCUACAAGUUGUCCCUAUAAGAUUAAGUGUAGGUAUGUGGCAUGCAAGCAGAUGAGAGGAUGGACUUGACAAUUACCAAUACUACUUCAUUUUUUAUCUGACAAGAUGCAAAAGAUAAAUGGAGGAUUAUAUGGGUGUGUGGCAAGUAUACUGCAAUGAUGAUAAUGAUGUUCCUAUUCAUGAUGAUGAUGAUGACGGUGGAUGCUUUCAGUUUUAAUUAAGUUGUAGGGAUGAUGUUCAUGUUGGAUGAUGUUCCUCGGUUAAGUUUUAGAUAAGUUGUAGGGAUGUGAUGGAUGCUUUCAGUUUAAGUUUGCUAUCAAGAAAAUAUUUAGAUUAUACAUCACAUUAGAUGGUGUUCCUCCUGUAAUAUCCACUAUUGUAAUCCAACAAUUUUUAUCAAAUAUAUGAUUUCUUCCUCU